rnacentral:lncRNA from 1 species
GUUUUGGUCUAUUUUUCUUAAACUAUAAGUAAUAGGUCAACUAUAUAUGUUGUAUAGAAGCAUUGUUAGCUGUACAUGUCUGCCUGGCAUGGUUCAUUUGACCUUGACCUCAUUUUCAAGGUUCAUUGGUCUUUGUUUAGUUAUCUUGGUUAAUGUUAAGUUUAUGUGACAGUUGUAUUAAAGCUUAGCUUUAUACUUAGGACUAUCAACAUAAUAUCAAUGAUUAGUAUAGAAGGCGAGACAUUUCAGCGUGUGCACUCUUGUUUUACUAGUUACAAAUCUGGAACCAAAUCCAUGAUGUGAAUAAAUGACGUGAUUUAAAAAUAUUGAUUCAGACCAUACAUGAUUAUUUUCUUCCUACAUAGCCCCCAAUGUAUUUAAUAAAAAAAUAUGAUUGACAUGAACACAAGAAAUAAUAGGGUUUUCUUCACCAAUGAGAAUUCAAACAUAAGACGUUUAGAGCAAACUAGUCUUUCCACAAGC